CUGAAGUCUACUGUCUACAACUGAAGUCUACUGUCUCCAACUGAAGUCUACUGUCUACAACUGAAGUCUACUGUCCACAACUGAAGUCUACUGUCUCCAACUGAAGUCUACUGUCUCCAACUGAAGUCUACUGUCUACAACUGAAGUCUACUGUCCACAACUGAAGUCUACUGUCUACAACUGAAGUCUACUGUCUACAGCUGAAGUCUACUGUCUCCACAACUGAAGUCUACUGUCUACAACUGAAGUCUGCUGUCUACAACUGAAUUCUUCUGUCCACCACUGUUUCGUUGAUUUCACAUUGAAUUCACAAUAGUUGACAACUGAAGCAAAUAUAUCAAAACGAGACAUUGAAAUUGCAUCUGUGCCCAGUGGGAUGUGUCUUUUAGCCAAACUUCCAAAAUCUUACGAGGGAUGGUCCAACAAUGGUCCACCACCCAAAACAGCUUUAAUUAGUUGGGACAUGGACUCUACAAGGUGUCGACUCAACAAGGUGUCGAAAGCGUUCCACAGGGAUGCUGGCUCAUGUUGACUCCAAUGUCAAAUUGGCUGGAUGUCCUUUGGGUGGUGGACCAUUCUUGACACACACAAGAAACUGAAAAACCCAGCAGCUUUGCAAUUCUUGACACAAACCGGUGCGCCUGGCACUUACUACCAUACCCCAUUCAAAGGCACUUAAAUAUGUUGUCUUGCCCAUUCACCCUCUGAAUGGCACACUGGAACGAAUUGCAAAAAUCUCUGAAGCUGGAGACUCACAUCUCCCUCAGUAGCUUUAAGCACCAGCUGUCAGAGCAGUUUACAGAUCACUGCACCUGUACAUAGCCCAUCUGUAAACAGCCCAUCUACCUACCUCAUCCCCAUACUGGUAUUUAUUUAUUUUGCUCCUUUGCACCCCAGUAUCUUUACCUGCACAUUCAUCUUCUGCCGAUCUACCAUUCCAGUGUUUAAUUGCUAUAUUGUAAUUACUUCGCCACCAUGGCCUAUUUAUUUCCUUAACUUACCUCAUUGCACUCACUGUAUAUAGACUUUUUGUUUUCUUUUGUUCUACUGUAUUAUUGACUAUGUUUUGUUUAUUCCAUGUGUAACUCUGUGUUGUUGUGUGUUCGAAUUGCUAUGCUUUAUCUUGGCC
ensembl:lncRNA